AGGGAGGUAGCAGGGAGUGGGGAAAUGGGGAAGAAGUGGAUGGAUUCUGGAGCUGUUUUGAAGAUAGUCAAUAUGGUUCGCUGAUAGUUUGGAAGGGGCUUGACUUAACCUUAAAUUGACUCUGCGUUCAUAUUUUCCAAAACCGUUUCCCAUAGAGAUGAGAGGAAUGUUUUACAGUUGCUUCUGAUCAGGUUUUUGAUUGGAGACCAAAAGCAAAUUCAGCCCCUGCAAUAGGAUUUUGGUUUCUUUUAUGCUUUAAGAAGAGUAUUCUUGUAUCACCCAUCAUCUAUUUGUUCUUUUCUUUCAAAGUAGGGCUGUGUUGACCAUCCCAUCGUUUUGACAGAAGCGGUGUGCAACCCACUGUAUUCACGACAAAUGAUGUCUGAGCUCCUUUUUGAGUGCUACGGGGUUCCCAAGGUUGCCUAUGGAAUAGACAGCCUGUUCAGCUUCUACCACAAUAAGCCAAAGACCUUGAUUUCCAGUGGGCUCAUCAUUUCAUCUGGCUACCAGUGCACACAUAUUUUACCCAUCUUAGAAGGGAGGUUAGAUGCUAAAAAUUGCAAACGCAUCAAUCUGGGAGGAAGUCAAGCAGCUGGCUACCUCCAGCGUCUCCUGCAGCUGAAGUAUCCUGGGCACCUGGCAGCUAUCACACUCAGCCGCAUGGAGGAGAUCCUGCACGAGCACAGCUACAUCGCGGAGGAUUAUGUGGAAGAAUUGCAGAAAUGGCGGUGCCCUGACUAUUAUGAAAACAAUGUGCACAAGAUGCAGCUCCCAUUUUCCAGUAAACUGCUCGGCAGCACUCUGACCGCUGAGGAGAAGCAGGAAAGGCGGCAGCAGCAGCUGCGUCGGCUGCAGGAGCUGAAUGCCCGGCGGCGGGAGGAGAAGUUGCAGCUUGAUCAGGAGCGGCUAGACAGACUGCAGUACGUGCAGGAACUUCUAGAGGAUGGCCAGAUGGAUCAAUUUCACAAAGCCCUGAUGGAGCUGAACAUGGACUCCCCAGAAGAGCUGCAGUCCUACAUACACAAGCUCAGUUCGGCCGUGGAGCAAGCUAAGCAGAAAAUCCUCCAAUCCGAAGUCACCCUCGAGGUGGAUGUGGUGGACAGCAAGCCUGAGACCCCUGACCUAGAGCCACUAGAGCCGUCCCUGGAAGACGUGGAAAACAUCAAUGAUUUUGAACCCUUGUUUUCAGAGGAAACGCCAGAAGUGGAGAAGCCGGUCGCUGCUGUCCAGCCCGUGUUUAACUUGGCAGCGUAUCACCAGCUGUUUGUUGGGACAGAAAGAAUUCGGGCUCCAGAGAUUAUCUUCCAGCCAUCUCUCCUAGGCGAAGAGCAGGCUGGGAUAGCGGAGACCCUUCAGUACAUUCUGGACAGGUACCCAAAGGACGUUCAGGAGGUGCUGGUUCAGAACGUUUUCCUCACUGGCGGGAACUUGAUGUAUCCUGGCCUAAAAGUUAGAAUCGAAAAGGAACUGUUGGCAAUGAGACCCUUUCAGUCAUCUUUUCAGGUUCAGCUUGCCUCUAACCCUGUGCUGGAUGCCUGGUAUGGUGCUCGGGACUGGGCCUUGGACCACCUGGAUGACGAUGCCGUCUGGAUCACCAGGAAAGAAUAUGAAGAGAAGGGAGGAGAGUACUUCAAGGAGCAUUCUGUUUCCAACAUCUACGUCCCCAUCCACCUGCCAAAGCAGGCUUCACGCUCCUCUGAAGCCCAGGCGUCAGGCAAAGGCUCAGGGGCCAGUGGAGGCAGUGCUGGUGAGCAGGCAUAACAGAGGGGCCCCUCUCGGAUCUUGGGCCAUGUCGGCUAGUGUGACAGGACAGUGACUGUGCUAGAUGUGUCUGGCCCAAGUCUGCUGGGAACAUUGGGCUGCAAGAUGGAUUUCUCCUGGGGAGAACAUGAAGGGACACUGGGAGUUACCCUCUAAAACUUUCCCUUCCUCUGGGGGCUUCUGCAGUGAAGAAACUUCCAGUGACUUGGUGUCUUUGUUGAACCACGAUGAGCGGUAGUAUCUGCUGCCUACAGUAGUAAAUGAAGACAGUGGAGGACAGAAAUGCCCUUAUUUGUUACUGCAUUUUAAAUCCCUUUUUGUUUUCAAAAACGUUUAAAAUGUAUAUUGUCAGUGUAGAUAUUUUUCUACAUUUAUUCAGAAGUUGUGUGAAUGCCCAGCAGUUUGAGGUCUUCCACAUACAUGUAAAAAGAUAAUAUUUAUGUAAUCAGAGUUCUCCACAAAACCUCAGGAGCUGUGAAUAUUUCUCUUUUCCUAUUACUUCCUCUUUCAAAUGAGAGAAAAGGGCCCAAAGAGGGAAAUCAGGUUGUACAGUGUAAGUCUGGUAGGGGCCUGCGUGGCGCCCACUUCCGAAUGGGCAGAAAUGGGGUCUUGGUCCAGCUUUUGUUCAAACUUUUUUUGCUGGAAACUUUUCCAGCACAUGAGACCUUCCUACAAAUUUUUAAAAUUUUGUGCUUGUGUGUUUUGGCUGCGUAACAUUUUCUGGCCUUUCUAAAGAAAGAAGUGGGCUGGAGAAGGUUACUCCUCUGUAGCCUUUUCAGUGUUGCCAUACCUCAUUCCCUGCACCUUUGUAGCUCCAUCUUAGGUGGACAAAUGACCCCUCUCUUUUACAGAGAUUGCUUGGUAAGAGGUUUAACUCUCAGACACCCAGUAAUUGAGCCCAGAAGGCCCCUGAGAUGCUAGUGUCCUGUCUCAGGGUCCGUACAUUUCAGUGCCAUGGAGCCUCUAGCUCUGAUGCCUCUGAUGAGGCCACCUCAGCACCUGUUUGCUCAGUUUACCAAGGGCGAGCACCUGGAACUCCACUCUUAGGGGCCUAGAAACUGAAGACCAGGAGGGGGCAGUGGUGAUUGUGAGAAGGAAGAAAACUUGGGCCGACUCAAGAUCUCCCACGCGUUGCUAGUGAGCCACUGGCCGUCCAAGCUUGGGCCCACGGACUGAUGAUCUGGUAAUAACCAUGAGCUGCUAAGAAAGGAUAGGUGCAAAGAAGGCAAAAGCAGCCUCCAUGUGAGAAAGAUUUUCCUAGCACAUUUCCAGGGCUCGGUCCCUAGUGUGGGGCGUGCAGGAGGCAACCCAUCAAUGAUUAAUUGCUUUUGACCUGGAGUCUUUUCCCCAUCGUCAACAGUUUAAACAGCCUGAACAGCAGUGGUGAGUGGUCAAGAUGGCCAUGGAAGUCAAGCUGCCCUGAAGGGGAAGGUCCCUCAGUGGGCAGGAAACAAAUAACUUGCCAAUAAAUUGGAGGAGUCCUAGCAAUAUCAGCACCUGGAUGGCAACAGCUUUACCCAGGUAAGCUGGCUCUGGCAGGGAAGGAGUAGAGAAGGGUGUGGAAAGUGCACGGGAUCAGAACUGACGGUCUUGGUGAGGUACCCCUUCGGGGGGUGAGCUCGGCACCUCAGAAGCCAGAGGUGGUGUAAUGGAGAGCACAGAGGGGCUGGUGAUAGACUUACUAAAGCAACAGAACCCGAGGAAGCCUGUCCACAAAAGCUGCUAAGUAUUAAUGAGUCUGUGUCUCACUAGCACCAGGAGGGGGAGUCCUUGAGAAACAAAACCACCCAAACCCUCUCCCUGCCCCGCUUCUUACUGUAUCCUGCUAAUCGUUUAGGUAAACCUAGCAUGCUCAAAUGUCCACCUUAAUACAAUGAAACUGCAGCAUCUUUAUGGGAAUAUAGUAGGAAGAGACCAAAACCAGAAAAUUCAAACAUUUUAGCAGGUAAAACAUACUUAUUAAGAAAAAAAAGCCAUUAUAGGUAGAAGAAAAAUGUAAUGCAAUAUUCCAACAGGAAUUAAAAACAACUGGACAAGCAAAUGCAGUGAGACAGCACAGCACAAAUGAAAAACUUGAUGGAGAUGACCACACAACAGGUAGAAGUGAAUGGGAACUGACAGGACUCAAAGGAUUGAAUUAAAGUAUCUCAGAAACCUAAAUUCAAGAUGCACAAGGGGAAGAUAUUCAACUGAAAGAGAAAGAGAAAAUAAGAGAAAGUGACAAGAAAAAGAGGCAAAGGCAAUCUAAAUUUAAUAUUGUUGAAAAUUCAACUAUAUUGAAUUUUAUAUUGAGAAUAGAAGAAAAUGGGACAAAAUUAAUAUUAGGAUGGUAAUUCAAUAAAACUUUCCUCCCCAUGAAAA